AGAGAUUUGUAACAUCAGUUCUUGGAAAACCGAUUUCUAUUUGUACAAUUAACAUCGUUUAUCAUUUUUGACCGAUGUCUCUGUUUUUUUCCAAAAUUUUGAGAAAGCGCGGAAACGACUAAGUUACAAAAUUGAUGAGGCGGGGGAACAAAAUUUCGUUUGCCUCCAACACUUACUCAGUUUCCCACGCGACUACACUGGGCCAAUUUUCUCUCUCAAACCUAAACACCACGACUACACUUCGUUUGCCUCCUCUUCCUCAUCCUCCUCCUCCAACCAGCACCCGAAUGCUCUCUGCCUCAGCCUCCGCCUCCGCUAUCCUCCUCCUCCUCUUCCUUUGGCACACCUGUUCUCUCAUCUCUCUUCUCAAAUUCACCAGAUCUGCUAAAGACGCAGUCCACGCCGAAGCUCCGCCUUGUCCCUCCUCCUUCUCUUUUCUCCUUCCACCCCGACGGUAUCACUUUCAUCUUUAUCCUCUCAAUUUUUCUUGAAAUUCUCUUCAUGUUCAGUGCGUUUUAGAUUCCUUCGUUGUUGAUUUUGCUUCUCUGGACCGCUAGUAGCUCUUUUGUUCUUGAUUUUAGUAGAAAUUGCCUUCUUCAGAUGAUGAACCGAACCCAAGGUUUUCGAUAUUGCAAUGGGUGUUUGUGUAAUUUGGAGGUGAUGGAGUGAUGGGUAUUUUGUUUCUGAUUUUGUUUUGGGUAGUCGCUGAUUUGCUGAUAAAUUGAAAGCCACUGGAUUUUCUGGGUUGUGUUUCUGGGUUUUGGGGGUUGUGUUUGAGGUAUCUGUAACGGGUUUUGAGAUAGCUGUAAUGUGUUUGAGAAGCUAAGCACCUUCUUAUUCACAAAGAACUAGAAAGAGAACGAGAAGCUCUCAAGGCCUCAAUCAUCUUCUCCAGGUAAUAAUCAAUCUAAGGUAUGUAGGAGACAAGGGGAAACGACAGUAGGGGCCACAAAAAUUACAAAAAUAAUGAACUCAUGCUCAAUUUGCAGCUUGGAAGGAUUAUUGUGAAUUUAAAUGGAAGGAUUAUUGUCCUUUAGUCUUCAGAACUCUCAGGAAGUUGUUCAAGGUGAAUGCAGCUGACUACAUGCUCUCUAUCUGUGGGAACAAUGCUGUUCGAGAACUUUCUUCUCCUGGUAAAAGUGGUAACUUCUUUUACUUGACUAAUGAUGACCGAUACGUGAUUAAAACAAUGAAGAAAGCAGAAGUAAAAGUUCUUAUAAGGAUGCUCUCUGCCUAUUACAACCAUGUUCGAGCAUACUAGAAUACGCUGGUCACUAAAUUUUAUGGUCUACACUGCUAAAGCUAACUGUGCAACCUAUUCGAAAAAAGAUGCGAUUUAUUAUUAUGGGAAAUCUGUUUUGUUCCGAAUAUACCAUUCAUCGACGUUUUGACUUGAAGGGAUCUUCCCUCGGUCGAACAACAGAUAAGACUGAGAGUCUAAGACAGAAAUUGAUGAAAUGACCAUACUUAAAGGCCUAGAUCUUAACUUUAUAUUUCGACUUCAGAAGUCAUGGUUUCAAGAGUUUUGCAGAUUGAGGAGUUGUAUUCAUUGGACAUUGAUUCUCUGAACAAUCUGAGGUCAUCGUGCGGCAGAGUAAAAGUCUGAUCCUUUAAUAUAUCUAAUAGCUGCAAAGUUCUUCUUCCGACUGGGUCCCAUCAACAAAAAAUGAAAGAAAAGAAAUGUAGACUCAGUUAGCAAGCGGCUAUUCAACGAUGUCUAGCAAAAAUCCUAAAGAUUUUGGAAUCUGUGAAAAGCUUAACCACAUCAAUGAUAUUCCCGCAGCAUCGCGCGGUUUGCUGCCUAGUUAGAAUCCAUUCUUGAACAUUUGACUGAUUGAGACACAGCUUCAACAUUUUUUGAUAGCUUCUGCAAUGACCUGGAGCCGGUUGUCGUCCAUGCUCUUCAUGAACUUGUUUCUUUAGUUCACAGUCAUGUCAAUUCUGCAGAGCAAUAUGAUUUUGAGUAUGACUAGAUUUUGCUUACCAUUUUGUAGUAGAUGUAGUGAUAUCAGGAUGAAUUGUGAACAAAUUAUACUACAUGUAGUUAUUGCAGUAGAGGUAUCUUCUAGACUAGCCUUAAAGUAGGUUAGGGUUUAUUGUGCAAAACUUUUGAAGCUACCUCAAGCUCUAAUUUUGGAUAGAAAUUAAUGCAAUUCCCCAAUAUUUGAAUUU